GGCCCUCUUUUCCCCCACGCUGGUUCCGCGUCCUGAGCGCCGGGCCCUAGCUGUCUCGUGUCUGAGGGGACGGUGGGGUGUCGCCGCCGCUGCGAUGAGGAGAACCUCCGAGUCUCUGAGUUCGGGUGACCGGCUCGACCCCGUGCGGAGCUUUAAUCGCUGGAAGAAGAAACACAGCCAUAAGCAGAGCCAAAAGAAGCAGUUGAGGAAGCAGCUGAAGAAGCCCGAGUGGCAAGUGGAGCGCGAGGUUAUCAGUCGCCUCACGGAGAACUACGAGAAGAUAAAUGUAAAUGAAAUUACAAGAUUUUCAGAUUUUCCUUUGUCCAAGAAAACAUUGAAAGGUUUGCAAGAAGCCCAAUACCGUUUGGUAACUGAAAUUCAGAAGCAGACCAUUGGGUUGGCUUUACAAGGUAAAGAUGUUCUGGGAGCUGCAAAGACUGGAUCUGGCAAGACUUUGGCUUUCCUAGUUCCAGUGCUGGAAGCUUUAUAUCGUCUGCAAUGGACCUCAGCAGAUGGACUGGGGAUUCUAAUAAUCUCACCUACAAGAGAAUUGGCCUACCAGACCUUUGAGGUUCUCCGCAAAGUAGGAAAGAAUCAUGACUUUUCAGCAGGUCUCAUCAUUGGCGGAAAGGAUCUGAAACAUGAAGCUGAGAGGAUUAAUAACAUAAAUAUACUUGUUUGCACACCGGGUCGGCUUCUUCAACACAUGGAUGAAACAAUAUGCUUUCAUGCUACCAAUCUCCAAAUGUUAGUUCUUGAUGAAGCAGAUAGAAUUUUGGAUAUGGGCUUUGCUGAUACCAUGAAUGCAAUUAUUGAAAAUCUUCCCAAGAAACGUCAGACUUUGCUUUUCUCAGCCACACAAACCAAAUCUGUAAAGGAUCUUGCACGACUGAGCUUGAAAAACCCUGAGUAUGUUUGGGUUCAUGAAAAAGCAAAAUAUAGCACCCCGGCCACUUUGGAGCAGAACUACAUAGUCUGCGAGCUGCAGCAAAAAAUAAGUGUUCUAUAUUCCUUUUUGAGAAGUCACUUGAAGAAGAAAAGCAUUGUAUUUUUCUCCAGUUGUAAAGAGGUACAGUAUCUGUUCCGAGUUUUCUGUCGACUUCGUCCUGGUGUUUCUAUCCUUGCCCUGCAUGGUCGACAGCAGCAGAUGAGAAGAAUGGAGGUUUAUAAUGAGUUUGUACGCAAAAAAGCUGCUGUGCUCUUUGCUACUGAUAUUGCAGCGAGGGGUCUAGAUUUCCCAGCUGUUAAUUGGGUUCUUCAGUUUGACUGUCCAGAGGAUGCCAACACAUACAUUCACAGAGCAGGUAGAACUGCAAGGUACAAGGAAGGUGGUGAAGCUUUAUUAAUUUUACUUCCCUCAGAAGAGAAAGGGAUGAUACAGCAGCUUCUCCAGAAGAAAGUGCCAGUGAAGGAAAUAAAAAUCAAUCCAGAAAAACUUAUAGAUGUCCAGAAAAAAUUGGAAUCAUUUUUAGCUCAAGAUCAAGAUUUAAAGGAGAGAGCUCAAAGGUGUUUUGUCUCCUACAUCCGUUCAGUUUAUCUGAUGAAGGAUAAGGAUGUAUUUGAUGUAAGCAAGUUACCUGUACCUGAGUACGCCCUGUCUCUUGGUCUUGCUGUGGCACCUCGGGUACGAUUUCUUCAGAAAAUGCAGAAGCAGUCUACCAAAGAAUUGGUGGUGAACCAAGAUAGCAAAGUAGCUGAAUCAGAAACUGUCUCUCUCACCGAUGAUGAAGUAGAAAAGUUCAGAACCUACUUCAAUAAGAAAAUGUCUAUGCUUCAGAAAGGUGGAAAAAGACAGGAAGAAGCAGAGGACAGAUUGGCUGAUGUUCCUAGUGAUGAUGAUGCAGAGGACAGACUCACUGAUCAUUCUAGUGAUGAUGAGGAAGAGGACAUGGAAAAGAAACUGGGAAAAACUCAGCCUCCAGAUGUUCCUAACACUGAUGAGGCCCAGAUAAAAGGAGCAUCUCUACAGUUCUUAGACAGAGAUGAUAACGAGGAUGAAGAUGAACUUGAAGCUGAUUUCUUUAAGGUGAAGCGGCACAAUGUGUUUGGGCUGGACCUUACAGAGAAUAAAGCAUUACAGAAAAAAGAAACUUCUAAGUCCAGUGUCAAGAAGAAAGUGACGAAGGUUGCAGAAGCAAAAAAAGUAAUGAAGAGAAAUUUUAAAGUGAACAAGAAAAUUACAUUUACUGAGGAAGGGGAGUUAGUUCAGCAGUGGCCACAAAUGCAGAAAUCUGUCACAGAGAAUCCUGAGGAAGAUGACAAUGCUGGAGGUAUUAACUUAGAUAAAGCAAAGGAGAGACUUCAAGAAGAGGACAAAUUUGACAAAGAAGAAUAUAGGAAGAAAAUUAAGGCAAAACAUCGGGAGAAACGACUUAAAGAAAGAGAAGCGAGAAGAGAAACCAACAAGAGACAGACAAAGGUCAAAGAUGAGGAGGAAGCAUUUCUGGAUUGGAGUGAUGACGAUGAUGAUGGAUUUGAUCCAAGCACACUUCCGGAUCCAGACAAGUACAGAAGCUCUGAAGAAUCAGAUAGUGAAGAUGGGGAAAAUAAAAUUAGGGUAAGAACUACAAAGAUUAAUGAAGGUUGUCAAGACUGGUGGAAGAACAAAACUGAAAAUUUCCAUAAUGAUGUCUUAUAAAAUCUAGUGAAGGGCUUCACCACUCUGGGAUGAUGUUUUCGUGUAGACACAGGGAGACACAGAAAGAGAAAGACACCAUGGCAUUGAAGAACAUUCCUGAGUGUGCUGGGGCUUGGCCUUGAACCUGUGUCAGACAUAUUACAAAGCGGGUACCCUCCCAGUCUAUCUGGUAUUGCAUUUAUUAUGUGAAGUCUCAUGGACCUGGAUUUUUCUUUUUGGGAGUUAUCGCUGGCACUACGAGUCCACUGCACCCGACAGAGAGAAAUUGAGAGGGGAGAGAGAAAGAGGAAGAUAAGCACCUGCAGACCUGCUUCACUGCUUGAGAGGCAACACCUCUGCAGAUAUGGACCUGUACGAAUUGCUCAGAGGCACUAAAAACGUAAAUUGGGAGAAAGAUAAGUUUUAUUGAAUCCAGUCUCUUGGUGGAUGUGAGUCAAACCAAUCCUCUUACCCUCAUUUGGUCAGAUUGAAAAAGCCCUCCUACUUCUUUUUAGACAUUUCAACUAUUUGAUGGUAUGUGAGGAUAAAAUACAUAGGUUACAAUUAUCUUGAAAGAGUUUCAGGUGCUCCCAGCAUAAUUGGCAAGGGCUGCAGUAUUAUAAAAUCCCUCAACCACUGGGUGACUAGUGAGAUUCAUCCUGUGCUCCUUUUUCUAAUGCAUUUAGUCUCUUCGGGGCUAGCUUCAGACAAGUGGCUUGACAACUGAUCUAUUAGAUCUAGGAUUUAGGCUAUAGGUUUAAAUUGUCUAUUGGUGACCCCUGAUUUUAGUAACCAGCGUUUUCACAUCUUUUGACAGAGAGAUGGUGCCCCCAAAUGCUCUCAAUCUGUGGUGUUGGUGGUGGUGGUGGUGGUUAGUCUUACUUCUUUCUUCUUUUCCCCCAUAUGCUGCAAGCUGAGCUACUCUGUGCAACAUGCUAAGAACAUAAAUGGAGAACUUCUGAAGAAAUAAGGAAACAAGAGUAUUUCCAGUGCAUUAGGCAAAUAGCACUCAGAGGCCUCACUGAUUGAGAGACAUGGAAAAGGCACCACAGCACUGAAGCUUGCUCUAGGCUCAAACCUGGGUUGUGCACAUGGCAAUGCAGACAGACACCUGCUCAGAUACUGAGGUUUCUCUUUCUCUCACAAGCCGAGGAUCUGUGGCCACCCUGUGUCCAGCGAGUCUCUCACUGCUGUUCUCCCAACAAUAUGUGCUCUCUUCAUGUCUCUGGCUCGCAUUUAGCUCAGCCUUCAAAAUAUGUUACUUAUCCUGGGACCUUUGUACUUGCUGUUUCCUCUCAGUGCUGUCACCUUUCUCCUGCUGGCAGACAUCCUGCUUCUUAUAUUCAAGGUUGCAAAACGAAAGUAAAAGUAAACCAAUAGGAUUACAUCAAGUUGAAAAGCUUCUGCACAAGAAAAGGAACCAUCACCAAAACAGCAAGAUACCCUACAGAUGGGAGAAGAUCAUUAUAUGCCAAACAUCAAAGGACUAAUUCCAAACUAUAUAAAGAACUCACUAAACUUAUCAGUAAAUGAACAAAAAUUAAAAAAAUAGGGAGAAAACAUGGACAGAAUCUUCAGUAAAGAUGAGAUCCAGAAGGUUAACAGACUUAAAAAAAAAAUGCUCUCGGGGGUCGGGCGGUGGCGCAAUGGGUUAAGUGCACGUGGCGCAAAGCGCAGGGACCGACGUAAGGAUCCCGGUUCGAGCCCCCAGCUCCCCACCUGCAGGGGAGUCACUUCACGGGCAGUGAAGCAGGUCUGCAGGUGUCUCUUUUUCUCUCCCCCUCUCUGUCUUCCCCUCCUCUCUCCAUUUCUCUCUGUCCUAUCCAACAACAAAGCAACGUCAACAAUGGCAAUAAUAACCGCAACGAGGCUGCAACAAAAAGGGGGAAAAAUGGCCUCCAGGAGCGGUGGAUUCAUGGUGCAGGCACCGAGCCCAGCAAUAACCCUGGAGGGAAAAAAAAAAAAUGCUCUCAGUCACUGAUUACCAGAGGAAUGCAAAUAAAGGCAACAAUGAGAUACCUAUGAGAAUGUCAUAGGACAGACACCACACGUAUCGGGCUGUAGAGGGAAGGAACCCUUCACAUUACUGGUGGAAAAGUAAAUUUGUGUGACCAUGUGGAAAUAAUCUGGAGAUUUACCAGAACAUUAGAUAUGGACCUACCCUAUGACCUGGCAAUUCCCCAUCUAAGGAUCUAUCUAGAGAUAUACAGUUUGUGAUAACACACAUUAGGAAACAACCCAGAUGCCCAAAGACAGAUGCGUGGUGCUUAAGAAAAUUGUGGUAUAUAUAGACAUACAACAGAACAUUGUCCAGCUAUUAAAAAUGAGGAAAUAACCCUUUGCCUCAUCUUGGAUGGAUCUUGAAGAAAUCAUUUUAAGUGAGAUAAGCCAAAAGAAGUAUGAAUAUCAGAUGGUCUCAUUUAUAGGUAGAGCUUAAGAAAUAAGGAAAGAAAUAGAAAACAAGGUAAAAAUUGGACUGGAUAAUGGGACAUUACAAGAGGAGAAAGGCAGGGGUGAAGAGGACCUUGGGGACUUUUUACAGGAGGUCAGAGAAUAACAAGGUAGGAGUGGUGUACAGACACCAUCAUAACCUAGACAUCAUGGGGAGAUGAGGAAUUGUACCAGUGUGUCAACAACUGUACUGUAAACCAUUAUUCCCAAAUAAAGUUAUU